UCCCCUACGGGGCGCAGCAGUGGGGAAUAUUGCACAAUGGGGGGAACCCUGAUGCAGCGACGCCGCGUGAGUGAAGAAGUAUUUCGGUAUGUAAAGCUCUGUCAGCAGGGAAGAAGAAAGACGGUACCUGACCAAGAAGCCCCGGCUAACUACGUGCCAGCAGCCGCGGUAAUACGUAGGGGGCAAGCGUUAUCCGGAUUUACUGGGUGUAAAGGGAGCGUAGACGGUCCUGCAAGCCAGAUGUGAAAGCCCGGGGCUCAACCCCGGGACUGCAUUUGGAACUGUAAGGCUAGAGUGUCGGAGAG
rnacentral:rRNA from 1 species